GAAGGUUAGGUUGUGUGUGACGGUGCUCAGCACAGCUUCAUGUCUGGCCUUACAACUCUGUUCAUUGCAUGUUACAUAUGCAAUCUUGAGUACCAGGAUGGGGCAGCGUGUAUCUUGGAGUUCACUGAAAGGUAUUAGUUGAACAACUUCCUUACCUGCAUUUUAUAUAAUCUGUUAAGACCUUUAAAACAAUAUUUCUCAAUGAGAGAUGGAUUUUUUUUAUGUCAAAUUAUUUAGAAGUCGCCCCUAAUUCAAUGAUGAAUUAUCAGUGUAAGCGAUGAAAAGUAAGAAGGACACACGAACACACACACACACACACACACAGAUCUCAUCAUUGAAUUACAUCAUUUUAUUAUUCUCUGUCUCUGACUGUAUAUGUUGUCCUCUGUUUUUCUCUGACUAUAAAUUGAAUAUCUAACAUUAUUGUCCUAGUGGAGUAGGCGGGUUGAGACCGUGAAUCGAGGACGGUGAGUGAGUGUUAAUGAGCUACAGCUCUGCGCGCACCGGUCUCAAAUCACGGAGGAGAUCGGGAGCAUAAGAGACAGAGUGACCAGACCGUCGAAGAGAGAGGACCGCGCCCGGAUAUUUUGAAGUCUUGUCAUUUUACAACAGUGUUUUGUUGUGUUAUGUUUUAUCCGCCGGCAGUCGACCCUGAGGGGCUGCCGGCUGCCUUUUUUUUUUAUUAUUUAUUUAAAUGUUUGCCGGUUCCCAUCUCCUUCCUUCCUUUUUAUUGAACAUUAUUACAGCUCCCUUCGUCUUUGACAUGCCGUCUCGCAUGCUUAGAUCUUUAUUACAGUAAAUACAUAAAGUGACUGUUCACAUUCAUUAAUAUGAAUGAUGUCAUCUGCUGUUUCAGGUGUGAGUGAAGCACAAGAUGUGUUCAUCAGUUCUGGUGAAAGUGUGUCUCUGUCCUGUAAUGAUGCUCUUCAUCAAUGCUCCUCAACUACAUGGAUCUACAGUUAUUAUUCAACAUCAUCUGCAGUAGAAGUGUUUACUGGAGGAAUAAAGAAGAAUAACACAGAGAGAUCUGAGAGACUGAAUCUGACAUCUGACUGCUCUCUCAACAUCUAUAAAACAACACAACAUGAUGGUGGACUUUACACCUGCAGACAAUAUGUGAAUGGACGUCAACAUGGACCUUAUUCAGAUGUUUAUCUACAUGUUCUUCAUGUGUCUUCAUCAUCAUCAUCAUCAUCAUCAUCAUCAUCAUCAUCAUCACAGACUGAGAUAAGAGCAAACACAUCUGUCACUCUCUCCUGUCAGCUGUUUACAUAUUACUGUUAUUAUGUGUUCAGUGAUGAUGGAUUGCAGCUGGUGUGGAUGAAUCAGACUGAUGUUGAUCUACAGACAGACUCCAGAUAUCAGAUUAGAUCAGAUGAACUCUGUCUCAUCUCUCUGACUACAACACUCGUGAAUGAAGACGACAACACAGAGUUGAGAUGUGUGCUCAAACACAAGAAUGACAUCAAGACCUCAGUCACAUAUACUGUCAGAUUUACAGAUUCAAACAAGAUUCUACUGACCACCACAAACCCUGAGAGAUUCUCAACUCUAAACACACCAGUCUCACCGUCUGCCUGUGUUUCCACAUUAUGACUCGUCUUAACUUAACUAUGUUUUUUACAGCAUCAACUACAACAUCAAUAAUAAUAAGAGUGAUUCUAGUGAUUGUUGAGGUGUCAGUGUUUGCUGCUCCUACUGUCAUUCUUCUUCAGAUCAUCUGUGCAGGAAGAGCGCAAAACAGAAGAAGGACUCAGAACGCUCAUCCAGAAGACACAGUGAUGUCAGCAGUUUGGGAAUAAAAUCCUCUUUAUGAGUAAAUUACAGCGAGCUUCAUUUGAUCAGAUUUUACACAUAUGUGUGUAAUGCUAUUAAACAAUUCUUCUGUUCACGCCUGUAUUAAACUGAUAGUUCAGCCCAAAAUGAAACAGCUGUCAUCAUUAACUCAAAUUGGUCUAAACCUAUAUUUUUUUCCUUUGUACACAAAAGAAGAUAUUUUGAAGAAUGUGGGAAAGUAAACAGUUCUGGGUCACCAUUGACUAUAGUAAUCUUUUGUUUGAUUACAAACAUUCUUCUAAAUUCUUUCUUUGUGUUCAGCAGAACAAAGUAUUUAACACAGAAUUGAAACAUCUUGAGGGUGAGUAAAUGAUGACAAAAUUUUCAUUUUUUCAUGAACUAUUACUUUAAAUAUGCCAACAGAGUCUGACGGUUUGUGUAACUGCAUAUGUGUUAUUGCAUUUGUGUAACGUCGUAAAUUGUGUGUUGGUUUUUUUUAUGCUAAUUCUGGCUUAAACAUGUUUUGAUUUUGCAUAAUUGAUGAAUAAAAUUUCUGAUAUUGAACUCUG